AGUGAACGCUGGCGGUAGGCCUAACACAUGCAAGUCGAACGGCAGCACAGAGGAGCUUGCUCCUUGGGUGGCGAGUGGCGGACGGGUGAGGAAUACAUCGGAAUCUACUCUGUCGUGGGGGAUAACGUAGGGAAACUUACGCUAAUACCGCAUACGACCUACGGGUGAAAGCAGGGGACCUUCGGGCCUUGCGCGAUUGAAUGAGCCGAUGUCGGAUUAGCUGGUUGGCGGGGUAAAGGCCCACCAAGGCGACGAGCCGUAGCUGGUCUGAGAGGAUGAUCAGCCACACUGGAACGGAGACACGGUCCAGACUCCUACGGGAGGCAGCAGUGGGGAAUAUUGGACAAUGGGCGCAAGCCUGAUCCAGCCAUACCGCGUGGGUGAAGAAGGCCUUCGGGUUGUAAAGCCCUUUUGUUGGGAAAGAAAUCCAGCUGGCUAAUACCCGGUUGGGAUGACGGUACCCAAAGAAUAAGCACCGGCUAACUUCGUGCCAGCCGCCGCAGUAA
rnacentral:rRNA from 1 species